ACUGAACGCUGGCGGCAGGCCUAACACAUGCAAGUCGAGCGGAUGAGGGUAGCUUGCUACCUGAUUCAGCGGCGGACGGGUGAGUAAUGCCUAGGAAUCUGCCUGGUAGUGGGGGACAACGUUUCGAAAGGAACGCUAAUACCGCAUACGUCCUACGGGAGAAAGUGGGGGAUCUUCGGACCUCACGCUAUCAGAUGAGCCUAGGUCGGAUUAGCUAGUUGGUGGGGUAAAGGCUUACCAAGGCGACGAUCCGUAACUGGUCUGAGAGGAUGAUCAGUCACACUGGAACUGAGACACGGUCCAGACUCCUACGGGAGGCAGCAGUGGGGAAUAUUGGACAAUGGGCGCAAGCCUGAUCCAGCCAUGCCGCGUGUGUGAAGAAGGUCUUCGGAUUGUAAAGCACUUUAAGUUGGGAGGAAGGGCAGUAAGUUAAUACUUGCUGUUUGACGUUACCGACAGAAUAAGCACCGGCUAACUCUGUGCCAGCAGCC
rnacentral:rRNA from 1 species